UGUCGGCUUCCCUCGGCUAGAGACAUGCGCAGCGACCCGCGGAACGACAGGUGCGCGCUGCGCCGACGACCGCGAAUCGCUUAGUUUCGGGUAAGCGCACGAUUCGCCUCUGCCGCUCUGUUCUCGCUUCGAGACAAGCCGACCCGCCAGUCGCUCGCGACUCUGUCUCUGAUUCGGUUCCGCUCGCUCCCGCUAAUCUCGUCAUCAACAUCUCUCUUCUGGCCCUUUCACGAGAUCAUCACUGGCAAUCGGAAGAGAGAUCGUCCGUUGGUGACGAUCGUGCGAUCGCGGAUCCUCUCGCCGUUGAGAGGAUCAACCGCUAGAUCCCAUCGGCUGUCGACGCCCUGGAAUAGCGGAAGACUCAUCAGCGCUUAUCGAGCGCACGUGUUCUUCCCUUCGCUUUUCUUCCCGUGAGUCUUCCUUCUCGCGAAGAAUUUUCGUCGAUAGACACAAUUUCCCAAUCGGAGGUGGUGAACGUGUUUAUCCAGUUUUCCUCCUCGUUCGGACAUUCGUCACCCGUUGUUUUCACUCCGAUCGUCAAUUUCGACAAGACGCGAUUUUCUUCUCACGCUGAAUCUCGCUGAAUCCCGGAGUGCCGUGGCCGGUAAAAGUAUAUAUCUCACGAUCGUGCUGCUAAAACAGUGAAUUUCCCGCCGAUUUCGCUAAUUCGACUGUGAUUGUGGAUCAUUGUGAUUAUCUUGGUGAACGCGCUCGGUGCUUUUGAUGAAUGUGGUGCUCUAGGAAAGUUUAGACACGUCGUCGGCAUCCCAGGUGGAUCCCUCUCGAUCAUGCACCGAGGACAGGAUCUCUUCCGCGUAAAUGUGGGAAUGCGGGCGGCCGCGGCGGUCGUCUUCCUGCUUCUCAGCGGAUUCGUCGUCCUACGCGGAGCCGAGGGGAGCGGCGAGCCGUGGUUGAGAAGCGACAAGCUCGCCGAGCGGGGAACGGAGAUUUUACUACCCUGCGUUCUGAAAUCACCGCAAUGCGAGGGUCUGCACAGCAUCAAGUGGUACCGUGGACCCACGAGGAUUUUCAUUUUCAGCGAGGAUGCCGGGAUUAUACGCGGCAAUAACGACAUUGCUGCCAGAGCGGACAUAGAAUAUUCGUCGAAUUCAUCGAAAACGUAUCUGAAGAUACCUGAGGUUCAGCUGGAGGACGAGGGUCUGUAUAAAUGUGAGGCUACGUAUUUGGCGGUCAACCGCGAGUGCAACAACGUGCAGCACAUUAUUCUGAACGUCACAGUGCAACCAGGAUUUAUACGUGUCAUCGACAAAAAAUCGAAGAAUACUCUGAGUUCCGGCUCCACUUUAGGACCUAUAAAUGAGGGUUCAAUGAUAUCUUUGUAUUGCGAGAGCGGAGAGGGCAAACCUGUACCCACAGUCGAGUGGUUUAAAGAUGACCAGCCACUCGAAGCAACGAGCUUGUCAACUAUCACUGAUACCGGAAUUGGUACUAGCAGUAGUUUACUGGAGAUGCAAAUUACACGAGAAGAGUUAGGUGCAACAUUCACGUGUAAAGUCAACAAUAUCGCACUCGUGGAGCCACUCACAGUUGACAUCAAACCAGACAUACACGUACGCCCUCUAAGAAUGGAUUUGGAAGGAGUGGUUGGUCACGUCGUGCAGGGAACUAAAAUUUUAUUGCAGUGCAAGGUACAAGCCGCACGACCCGCCGCUAAUGUGACGUGGAAAAACGGAACGCACCUCUUAAACAAGAACAAUGAAAGAUUCGAAAUGUUUGAGACGAAAAUACAGGAAAAUGAGGACGGUACAUUCGAUACGAUAAGUUAUCUCGCGUUUACAGCAACAGUAUACGACAACAGCAGAACGUUCAAGUGCUACGCCGGGAAUUCGGUUACUGAUACUGAAGACCUAAGGCAAAUGAAGGAAGCAACAACGAUCGAAGUAUUAUAUCCGCCGAUAGUUACAAUGAAGCCGAACAACAUGACUGUUAACGAGACAGACGACUUUAUAAUAUUCUGCGACUACGAGGCAAAUCCAGCCACGCUAAUAAAGGUGACGUGGUUACGAGACGACGACGAAUUAGUGUUAAACGAAGAACAUUACGACGGCGGAAUCACGGAACAAACAGCACUCACGGUGAAAAACGCGACUCCCAGCGACAUGGGUUCUUACAAAUGCAUCCUGGAGAACAACGCCGGCGCAACCGUGUCUGAUGACGCCGUGCAGGUUUCGGUCUUUUAUAAGCCAGUGGUGGAAGUGAUAAUGGAUCCGGAAACACCUGUGAACGAAGCGGAUCGUCAGAAUGUUUCGUUAACGUGCGAGGUCGACGCUGGCAAUCCGGCGAUACUGACAGCCGUCCGUUGGUAUUUGGACGGAGAUCUAUUAAAAGAACUUCCGGACUGCUCGAGAAACAGCACUGCCAUGACAGCAAGCUCCGAGGAAUCAUCGGCAUUCUGUGACAUCGAUCCUAGCAAACUGCUGUUGGAAUCUGUCGGUCGCACCUUCCACGGCAACUACUCCUGCGAGGGGAAAAACGAGGCUGGGUGGGGGCCGAUCUCCCCAAGCACGCCUGUCAUAGUUUAUUAUAAGCCCGGCCCGGCAUCGAUAACGUACGAACCUCGGCAAGUAGUGAAGAAACAAGCGUUAUCCAUCACAUGCUUCGUUUUGGAUCCCGGCCGACCGAGGGUGUCGGGCUUCAAGUGGCUGCGCGGCUGGCACCGACUUCCAGACGAGAACGAAGCCACGCUCUACAUCGAGUCAGUUAAUUUGGAAACCGAGGCAAAUUUCACGUGUCUGGCUUACAACGAGGCCGGUGACGGAGAGCCAGCCACAACGUUUAUCGACGUAUCUGCGGCCCCGACGUUCAUUAAGAAGCUGCACUCGUACCGCGGCUACGUCUACAACUCGCCCAACGUGAGCAUCAUGUGCUGGGUCGAAUGCGCCCCGAUCUGCAGUAUUUCCUGGCUGAGGGAUGACAUUCCCAUGGACUUCACGAAAACGAAUCGAUACUACGUGUCGAACGUUUAUCAUCCGCCUGACCCAAGGACCAACGACUUCGAGAGCAUCCAAUCGACCCUCGUAUGGAAUCUGACGGUCUGGCCGAACGGUCAGCUCGACCGCGCCGAGGAUAACGUCAAAUUCACCUGCAAGAGCAGCAGCAACGGGAUCGGAGCGGGCGUGGAGAGUAGUACUCACUUUCAUGUUGAGUUCCCUCCGGAGGAGAUUACAAUAUCGAAGAAGAUAAUCAAUGUGACAGAGAAUACGAUACCGGAAUCAGUCGAGUGCAACGCAAAGGCACGACCGAAACCGAAUUUCCGAUGGUUCCGUGAAGGAUACGCUGAAACCAGUAUGGAAGGCCACGUGUUGGACUUGAAAGUACCAAUACCGCGGCGUAGCAGUGGCAUUUACUACUGCGAGGCGAAAAAUCGUCAUGGUUCCUUGAAUAUCUCAAUGAUCAUGAAUGUUCAAUUUAAACCGGAAUGCACUAUAGAGAAAGUACGAUUCGAGGGCCAGGAUUACGUCGUUUGCUCAGCCGACGCCAACCCGAAAGAGACGGGUUUCACUUGGUCACUGAAGAACGAAAAUGACACGUUGGAGCAGGUCGCGGAAAUACGAAACGGAAAAAGUUACAUGCCCCUCGAUACUUCAGUCACUAACUUCCGGACGUACAUGUGCGUGGCGAACAACACAAUCGGCCAUUCCGUAGCGUGUGAACGCGACAUACCAGCCCACCAUGGAACUAAAAGUCAUAUACCUUGGUGGCAUCAAUUGGAUGGUAAUCUGCUACUGAUUAUUAUCGUAGUGGCGGUGGUCAUGAUACUAGUCCUAAUACUAAUCUGCGUGGCCAUUUACAUCGUGUGCCGACGGAAACGCAGCCAAAUGAAAUACACUACUCGGGUGGUCCAUCUGGAGGAACGCGAACAUCCAGACGGUGGACCGCCCAGUCCGACAGUAUCCUCGCACUCGGUGCAAAGCCCGGCGCAACCAACGCCGGCGCCGAGGUGGCCCUUGAAGCCGGGCGUGCUGGUGCACAUCAAUCGAACUCACAGUCUGCGAUCCGGCUUGAGCGUUCGCGCGAACGAGGCUAAUCUGCGUAACGAGCCAGUGGGCAAACGUAACGACGAACCGCUCAAGCAAAGGUUCCUCGACGAGACGUCGUUGUCGUCGACCGGCCGUAACCCGACGCGGACGGUAUUCCGUCGCGGCAGAAAAGAUCAAGCUGCGCAGAGGACAGCCAGCAUGACCAGUCUGAACGAGGAUGGUAUGCUCGCCCGGGCUAACAAGAUAAAAGCUAUGUUUGGCGUACAGCUCAAAGAGCAGGCCACCCUACCUGGUAUAUCCAGAGAAAAGACAGCUGUGACUUACAAGAGAAUUGUGCCGCGGCAGCGGAUAUUGCACGAUGUGGAUCCCUCGUACGAGCCGAAUCGUGGCAAUAUAUGUCGUAAGCGAAAAAAACCCGGGGCAGAUCCCAAUCAAGCCGCGAAUAACAAUCAUGUGAACAGCGUGUCGGAAGUUCUACCCGACUCCGGGACAAAGACAUUCUACGAAAAUUUACCUUUCCACGGGAUUCAAGCGCCACCUAACAAGUUGGUUACUCCUAAGUUUGCCCGAGUUUCGGCUUUGCAUGGCACGUUGCAUUCCAUCACGACCUCGCCGUGUUCUUCGCGACCACCCAGCAGAGCUGUCAGUCUUUGCGAUGGCAGUUCCGGCUAUGAGUCAACCAUGAGUCACCUAGGACCCCACUACAACAUCUAUAACGUGCCCAGGAGCAAUUCGCCAGUGCUCAAAUACAACACUCUGAAACCGAGGCGGCGCAAACAAAAGCACUCGCAACAGUUCUACUCGUUGCGGCUGUGCCGCCGACACGAGAACAUCCGCAGGAAGUACGAGCUAUACGCGAUACCGAUCUAUAAGACGUGCCCGCACAGGAGCGACAGCACGACCACAAUCGCGACAAUCGUACGAUCAUUGGAGGACGCGCCGUCCCUGACCCUGAGCCAGGCAUCGGCAUCGAUCAGCCUGAUGAGUCGAUCGGCGCCGUCGACGCCGAUACCGUCGUCGCCGACGACGACGACGACGCCGCCGCCCCCGCCGAUACCAGCGCCGAGGAUGUCCAAAAAAACCGACCCGUCUAAACACACCUACCAAAAUGUCCCUCCCCCCGUUUUUCCGCCGAAAAACGCUUCGUUGCCUAAGCUUAAGACCGACAGCCUAUACAACUACAAAGAACACUACCAGCAGCAGCAUCGGCAGGAGAUGCAGCAGUACAGCUACCCCUUACCGAGCAACAGUUCGAACCAACUAACACUGCCACUAACGCGCAGCCUCUACCAUUCCUCGACAGUUAGUCCCCUGCAGACCUCCCUCGUCCACACUAACAACAGUCGGCCGUCCACCCUGAUGCACCACGAGACCGCCACCACUGGCAAUCACUUGCCUGCGGUGCAUCGGAAUGAGGAGCAGCAGCAGCAGCAGCAGCAACAGCAGCAGCAAGAGCCGAAUUACGGCAAUCAAGACGCGAGACAAUCGUCGACGCGUCGACACGCGACGAAUCGGCGGAACGAACGUAAUCGGAAGUACCGGAAGCACGAGCGAACGUCGAGCGAUCGUAGCAAGUCGAAGCAGAACCGACAAAGAGACAGAGACACUCCUUCACGGCGUAGCAACGCUUCCUUUGUCGACACACCCGAUUGCGAGACGAGCUUCCACCAAAUCCCGGAUCUGGGCGUGCCCGAGACGAUGUACAAGAUCUCGUAUCCGCAUUACUACGAGGACGACAUCGCGGAGUGCUCCGCCGACUAUCACAGGCCAAACUCGGCGAUGACGCGUCAGCAGCAGCAGCAGCAACAACAACAGCAACUGCAACCGCCGUGGGAGCACCAAUCGAAUCGCUGCACCAGCAAUAACACGCCUCAAUUCACAGCGGACACGGGCGACGCGAAAAAUCGCAGCAAAACGUCAAAGACAAGGCUCGGCGACACCCGCAGCAUACCAUCCGCGCCCACGAUAAUGCAGUACGCCGAGUUUCACUUCCGGGAUGUCGGUCAGGAGAUCGAUGUCUAAAGGUUAGUGAUCCCGAAUCCCGCUGGCGCACAACGUGGCACGAAUAUGCUUUCGAAGAACGCGGACGAUCUCAUUUUUUCCAAGGAAUGCCGUGGCAAUUUGUUUGAAGCCUCCCGGAGCACGGUACGCUACUACGUCUUAAAGGUAACGCAUCCGCGCGUGCCGAACAGAUUUAACGUGUUCUCUACGUACGCCGUGCUCAAAGCCCUUCAAGCCGGAUUUCUCGGAUCUCGAUUAUGCGGACGUGGACUACAAGUCGUACGGGCCGAUUAAUUAUAAAGCCGCCAGUAUCGCGCUCCUUCAAAAGCAGCAGCAGCAACAACAGCAGCAGCAGCAGCCGCAUCAACAGGCUCUACAGCAGCAGCGACUUUUGGAAAGAAGGCCGCAAAUGUACGGUACUUCGGACGACAACGAGGAACUGCUUU